AUUGAACGCUGGCGGCAGGCCUAACACAUGCAAGUCGAACGAGUGGCGGACGGGUGAGUAAUGUCUGGGCAACUGCCUGAUGGAGGGGGAUAACUACUGGAAACGGUAGCUAAUACCGCAUACCAUCGGAUGUGCCCAGAUGGGAUUAGCUAGUAGGUGGGGUAAAGGCUCACCUAGGCGACGAUACCUAGCUGGUCUGAGAGGCUGCCCAGCCACACUGGAACUGAGACACGGUCCAGACUGCUACGGGAGGCAGCAGUGGGGAAUAUGGCACAAUGGGCGAAAGCCUGAUGCAGCCACGGCGCGUGUAUGAAGAAGGCCUUCGGGUUGUAAAGGACUUUCAGCGGGGAGGCGUUACCCGCAGAAGAAGCACCGGCUAACUCCGUGCCAGCAGCCGCGGUAAUAC
rnacentral:rRNA from 1 species